rnacentral:rRNA from 1 species
AGUGAACGCUGGCCGCGUGCUUAACACAUGCAAGUCGAACGAGAACGGAUUAUAGCUUGCUAUAAUUAUCAGCUAAGUGGCGCACGGGUGAGUAAUGUAUAGGUAAUAUGCCUCUUACUAAGGGAUAACAAUUGGAAACGAUUGCUAAUACCUUAUAUUCCCUUUUAUCAAAAGAUAAAAAGGGAAAGAUUUAUUGGUAAGAGAUUAGCCUGUAUUGUAUCAGUUAGUUGGUGGGGUAAUGGCCUACCAAGACAAUGACGCAUAACUGGUUUGAGAGGAUGAUCAGUCACACUGGAACUGAGACACGGUCCAGACUCCUACGGGAGGCAGCAGUGGGGAAUAUUGCACAAUGGACGAAAGUCUGAUGCAGCAACGCCGCGUGGAGGAUGACACAUUUCGGUGCGUAAACUCCUUUUAUAUAAGAAGAUAAUGACGGUAUUAUAUGAAUAAGCACCGGCUAACUCCGUGCAAGCAGCCGCCGUAA